UUGGAGGGCAAGUCUGGUGCCAGCAGCCGCGGUAAUUCCAGCUCCAAUAGCGUAUNUUAAAGUUGUUGUGGUUAAAAAGCUCGUAGUUGAACCUUGGGCCUGGCUGGCCGGUCCGCCUCACCGCGUGUACUGGUCCGGCCGGGCCUUUCCCUCUGUGGAACCCCAUGCCCUUCACUGGGCGUGGCGGGGAAACAGGACUUUUACUGUGAAAAAAUUAGAGUGCUCCAGGCAGGCCUAUGCUCGAAUACAUUAGCAUGGAAUAAUAGAAUAGGACGUGUGGUUCUAUUUUGUUGGUUUCUAGGACCGCCGUAAUGAUUAAUAGGGACAGUCGGGGGCAUCAGUAUUCAAUUGUCAGAGGUGAAAUUCUUGGAUUUAUUGAAGACUAACUACUGCGAAAGCAUUUGCCAAGGAUGUUUUCAUUAAUCAGGAACGAAAGUUAGGGGAUCGAAGACGAUCAGAUACCGUCGUAGUCUUAACCAUAAACUAUGCCGACUAGGGAUCGGACGGUGUUAUUUUUUGACCCGUUCGGCGCCUUACGGGAAAC
rnacentral:rRNA from 1 species